rnacentral:tRNA from 1 species
GCAGUGGUAUCGAAGUGGUCAUAACGGACGUGACUCGAAAUCACGAUGCCCCUUGAGGGACGUGGGUUCGAAUCCCACCCACUGCGCCA